rnacentral:rRNA from 1 species
CUGGGUUUAAAGCGUGCGUAGGUGGUUUGUUAAGUCAGAUGUGAAAGCCCUGGGCUCAACCUGGGAACUGCAUUUGAUACUGGCAGGCUAGAGUGCGGUAGAGGAUAGCGGAAUUCCUGGUGUAGCAGUGAAAUGCGUAGAGAUCAGGAGGAACAUCCGUGGCGAAAGGCGGCUAUCUGGGCCAGCACUGACACUGAGGCACGAAAGCGUGGGGAGCAAACAGGAUUAGAUACCCUG